AACGAACGCUGGCGGCAGGCUUAACACAUGCAAGUCGAGCGCCCCGCAAGGGGAGCGGCAGACGGGUGAGUAACGCGUGGGAAUCUACCCAUCUCUACGGAAUAACGCAUGGAAACGUGUGCUAAUACCGUAUACGUCCUUCGGGAGAAAGAUUUAUCGGAGAUGGGUGAGCCCGCGUUGGAUUAGCUAGUUGGUGGGGUAAAGGCCUACCAAGGCGACGAUCCAUAGCUGGUCUGAGAGGAUGAUCAGCCACACUGGGACUGAGACACGGCCCGGACUCAUACGGGAGGCGGCAGUGGGGAAUAUUGGACAAUGGGCGCAAGCCUGAUCCAGCCAUGCCGCGUGAGUGAUGAAGGCCCUAGGGUUGUAAAGCUCUUUCACCGGUGAAGAUAAUGACGGUAACCGGAGAAGAAGCCCCGGCUAACUUCGUGCCAGCCGCCGCCGUAACAC
rnacentral:rRNA from 1 species